rnacentral:lncRNA from 1 species
UCUCUCAGUCUUUUAUAAUAGUCAGAUUCUGUCAUUUGGACCAUACAUGUAGUUAUGAGUUGACUCCACCCUCUAGCAAUUCUAUCCACACAAGUGCUAAACUCCUUCACUCUAGUCUCCAAAAUAACUGUAAAACUAAUAUGAAAUCUCCUCAAAUAUCUCCCUAGUUCUCUUUCUUUAGAAGCCCUGUUCAUGCCUCUAACAUUCCAUACUAGACUUUUCAUAGAGAAAUAUGGCUUCUCUCCCCCUCUGGGGGUCGACCAGAUACAUCCAGGCCCAAAGCUCUCCAAUGGUAAGUGGCGAGAAAUAAUUCUGAGUAAUUGUAGUCCUAUCAAUAGCUUUAUGAUACAUAUUGCAUAAGUAAGACUACCAGCCAUCCUUGUGCCUGCUACCUGAAUGAAUUCAUUAUCAUUAUUCUUAGGAGUGAUUUGUACCAUUUGAGUAUAUUGAGUUCCAUCCUGCAACUAAAUUUUCUUCUCCCCUCUCAUUGUAGUAACCUUAGGAUCUAUAACAGCCUUUUUUUCUUGAGGUACCCACUUAGGAAUCAAUUUCUUUGGCUCUUGUGGUUUCUCUCGCUUCUGGUAGGCUUGAUCAUGGUGUUGUUGUUGCCUAGUUGGAUGAGCAGCCUCCUUUUUACAAUCAUGUCUUACUUGCAUACAAUCGUGGCAAUAUAGUGGUCGCCAAUCAUACUCAAUUUGUUGUAAGAAACUUUUCCCUGAUGGCUCAUAUACUUCAACCUCAUCUACCAUCCCCGGUGAGACAUCUAUUUUCCACCAGUACCCUUGCAAAUGAUACCCUUGUCUAUUUUUUAGUACAUUCAUUGGCAAAUAUAGGUCAUCCCAAUCUACUCGCAAUCUUGCUCAAUACAGAUCGUCCCCAACAAUUUCGUGGGAGAUUUGGGAGUCUUACCCAAAGAGGCAUGGUGCGUGGAAAUCUUAUUGAAAAUCAAAAUUAAGCGUCCAUUCCUUCAAAAUUUAGGGUUUGUUAUUCAGUGUAUAAGGUCCACCAUACAGUAUCUCAUUCUUAUCAUCCUAGCACUGAAAUCUAGCUAUGUACCACCCAUCGUCAUGAAGAAAAAGCUCAGGGGCUGUAACUUUGUUCCAUAUGCGUGCUAUGUAGCUGGUCAUAUAAGCAUAACUAGGCUUUGCCCCCAUUAUAAAGAGAACCAAAGCAUUUUCCCAUAUUUUUGUUUGUUGAGCUAUCUCAUUUUUCUUAAUUUGAACCACUGGUUUCCCAUCUACUACUAUCGGAAUGAUAAAAUCAAGUGACAUACUAUUCGUCACCGAACGAUUGUUCAUGAACAGUCCAAACCAUUCUUUAUUUCCCCCUCCGCAGGCUCUGUUUCCUUCCCCAAAUCCAGAUUCCGUCUAGCAUUAGUGAUAACUUCUCCUUCCAUAAACCGGUGUUUUACCCUUAUUAAUUCCUAGCACACUCACUUGGAUCUCAUUCCCCUCCUGCUCCUUCGUAAUCGUCGUCUCUUCUUCUUAUAGGGCUUUUUUCACCCAAAGAUUGAUACAAUAACCUCCAGAACUUGAUUCGCCAGAUUUUUCUUUACUACCUCUGAGUUACGUGGUCUUCCUCACCCUCAUUUAGCCAUGGAAACCCUUUCGGGCGCACAUUAGUAGAGAGGCGCUAAGCGUGCACCGAGAGAGGUAUUAAGUCGAUAAGCCCUUGCUAUGUUUUCAGUAAGAUUGUUGUUGCAGUCUAAUAGCUCUUUUACUUACGUGUUAUUUAAUUAUUAAAGACUCCACCAAUAAGUAUUUUGUGAAACGGUCAAAUUAUUUUUAAUGAUGCGUGUACUAUUAUUUUUUCUUUUUAACCAUUUUUUUGUUUGAACCUUAAGUAGCCAUGUUUAACUAAAUACAUAAAUUUAGUCCAUUGCAUUCAUGAAUCAAAAUGAUCUAUUCUCUGCUCAUUUUUCUAGCUCAAAAAUAUUUAUUUUAAAUAAUAUUACUUCAGAAAUUCAAUAUUAAAUGCUGAUAACUAGUUUUAAUUAUAUAUUGUUAAUAUUAAAGAAAUAUUUUUUAAUAUUUAAAAAACAUCUAAUUACUAAAAAAAAUAUUAUAAAUUAUGUGUUGUAUUUAAUAAUUUUUAAUAAUUUAAAAUAAUAUUAAAUUAAAAUGAGGUAACAAAUAAAUUGAAAUUGAACAUCACUUUAUAUUUUUAUUAUGAACUAUAGAAGAAAACUGUUUAGAUCCACUAUAAGUAGGUAGAUAUGUAGCAAAAUUCAGUCACAUCAAUAUUACAUUUCUGAAUGUUUGCCUCUUCAUGCUUUUAAUUACUUCGAUCGGAACUCGCCUCGUAAAUUUUAAUAAAAGACUUUAAAAUAUACAAAUAUACACAAGAAAAUAAUAACUUAGAGUUAUAUUUUUUAUUUUCAUAUGCUUGUUGUUUUGAAUGUAAAUGACAUAAAUAAAACUAAAGAUUAAUUGUACUUAAUAAAAUGUCAUUAGUGUGUUUGCAUUAUAUUAUCUUCGAUAUAAUUAUAAAAAAUAUAUUUAUUAAUAUAAAGACUUGAGUUAUUUAAUUCAAAGUUCUAAAAUAUUUUAGUAGCUCACCCAUGAGCCACCCCUAACAAUUCUCUAUCUUUCUUCUAUGACAUAUUCAGUUAUAGCUUAAAGUAAAUUCUUGAAUCUCAAUCUCUCCCCAAGAGGAA